UUGUCAGCCAUCCUCAGCGUUUCAGAUUCAGUAGCUUUGGGGAUGGGGCUGAAACUGCAUUUCUGACAAGCUCAGAUGCUGCUGCUACUGAACUUGAAACUUUGAGAACCACUUUGGGAACGGCUGCCUGCAACAGAAACUGCAUGAAGUGUUGGGAAUACGAACAAAACUGCUGCUAAGGCCGGCAGAGAGCCAAGGGGUCACCCAGGUGCAAGGAAGGGCAGAUGAGUUCCUCGCUGAGCUAAGGGGUCCUUCGCACCAAGACUGGGUCGCUCUGGCUGAGUAGAGGCGGACACUGCGGCCGACCUCCAUGAGCGGGACACAAGAGCUGCCGGGACAACAGCAUUCAAAGGCAUUGCAAGAACCAAGGUACUUUCUGAUGAUGGACAAAGGGUCCUUGGGAGAUUCUUAGUCCACAGUCUAGAGUAUGUGGGGAAAUGAAUCAAGAAAAACAUGGCCAGAGAACAACCUUAAGGAUAGUACGAUUACAUAGGUUUCUAAUCAAAACAUUUGAAAGACAGUAAGAUAAAUUGUAAAAAUAGCUCUUUUCAUUCACCCUCCCACCCCAAUUUCCAAAGCAUUUUACUAGAAGUAAAUAGGAUGUAAAAAAUUGUUUAGUAAGUUAACCUAAAAUGAGAUGUACAAACUUAGAAACCCAUGAAAUGUUUCCAGUCGUAAAAAGAAUGUAUUAAAAUUAGUAGAAGCAUCACCUCCCAUAUCUUCACAACCACUUUAUUUUGUUUUCCUCUCUAAUCACUAAGAUGUGCAGAGCAAUAAUGCCCCAAGCCCUCUGGAGAUAUAGCUUAAUCCUGCACAAAUACCUCCUAUUUUAGGUGUUCGUGUGCCAAGUGUAUGUGUAUAACUAGGUAGGGAAAACUGUGCGUGAGCUUAGGGCAGAAGUUUCUGCUUGCUUGUUGUCAGUGAUCCACCAUUGCACUUCACCAAACUGUUUUUUCCUGCUGGUUUGUGCCUUUGAGACUUGGACUUUCUAAAUCCUUCUUCCACGGCCAAGCUCUGAUAAUUAAAUUGCCUUUAAUCUUGGCAAUUUUUUUUUUCCUUCAAGUUAAAAGCUGGGGAAGAGAUACAGGCUCAAAAAAGUUAGCACAUGGAUGGAUGACUGUGUGAGAAAGAAAUUUGGCUUAAAAAAUGAUUUAUAAAAAUUUAGAAAGCAAAAAAAUCUAUUAAUUAUCUUCCAAGAUGCAUCCAUCCCUGUAUCUUUUCCAUUGAAAGGAUGUUUCCCAUGUAGGCCACCCAAAAAGCUUGUGUUCUUCACUCUGUGAGAUAGUUAGGAACAUUAAUGCAAAUUGGAGGUGAUUUGGUCUUACUGUAAUGAGUUGAGGAUAGAACCCCUUCUUUGGCUUUGUCUCUUUUCUAACAGGUCAGAAUCUGAGCUUCCACUAGAAUCACCAAGAACUGAGUAACGUCUCCCAAAAUCGGGGGUGAUGGCUGUUGUGACAAUUGGAGCAAAACCAGUCUAUAUUCUCUUUCAUAUUUUUAAAGAAGCAGUAGACUCUAUAUCCCAGCGGUGACUUAACUAGAUAACCAAUAUUCUUGGUGGUAAUAAUUGAAUAUUCAAAUGUGAAAUCUUAUAACUGUACUUUAUAUUUCUCUAUCCUACACUAUGAUAAAAUACAGAUUGAGUAUUACUAACCCCCCAAAAACUAUUGUCCCAAUCCCCAAUUUUUUGAGUACACAAAGGGGAAAUUCCACUGCUGACCUGAUGUGCUAGAUCUUAGUCAAAACACAGGCACACUGAAGCUAUUUUAUAAAUUUGUGUCUUCAGGCUAUGAAUAUAAGGUAUACACAUGUAUGAAACAUAAAUGAACUUUAUAUUUAGACUUGAGUCUCAUACCUAGGCAACUCAUUAUAUAUACAUAGAUAUUCUGAAAUAUAAAACACUUUUAAUCUCAAGCAUUUCAGAUAAGGGACAUUCAACUUAUGCCACAAUUGUCAGGUGAUAAUAUUGCUACAGUGAAUUAUCUAAGGUAAAAAAAGUUUUCUCGUAUUUUACAUUUAUGAGUUAAUUGGACCUUGAAUUAACUUAUGACACUCACUGAAUUCACUAUUGAUUCAAAAUGAAUAUUGUAUAUUUUUCCUGAAUAAUAUUUACCAUGUUUGCUCCCAGGAGCUAAUAGAGGAAAUAUUUCUUUAGGAAUAAUCAGGAAAAAUAAAGUAUGGCAUUUUUGUUUCAGAAGAAAAAUUAACUGAAGUAUUGAGUAAAGGAAAAAUAAAGGAAAAAAUGCAAGGUUUUCAGCUCAUAAUAUUAUUUGCUAGUCACGAGGACUUGGACAGACAAACCUAAACUUUAAUUUCCUCAUCAGAAAAUUAAUAGUAAUACCUAACUUGUUUUGUGCUGUGCAGUUGACAAAAUCUAUAAAAAGCAUUCUGUAAACUAUGCAGUGCAAAAUAUUAUGUCUUUGUUUCUACUUUACACAUACAAACCCUAGACAGUUACAAAUAUUUAGUUUGGUUGGUUAGCUCAGUUCCAGUCACUCAACCCUCUCACCCACUCCCCAUUCCCAGAAAAAAAAAAAAAAAAAAAAGUACCUUGAAUGCUUUUAUGCACACUCUUCAUGCACUUCUUCUUAGCACUUUUAUUGACUUACACUAGCUCACGUUAGUUGUGUGGAAACUCAUUUUAACAGUCUAGAAUAAAAUGAACUUCCUUCCCUUAUUUCUCUUUCAAUAAGAAAUUUUUUUAUAUAUAUAUAUAUGCCAUUUUGAAUAUGUCUUCACAAGACUUUUUGAAGAUUAUCCAUUUUUUUUUCCUUUAGGGUCCCUGUUUCUAAUUGCAAAAAGUCAUUUCCAAAACUGAACACGCUCGCCAAAUUAAUUUAAUCAUAACAAAUUGUUCAUGAGAGUCUCAACCAAAACUGUGGAAUCUUCACAUUUCCUGAGGUUUCUGCUUAUGUUUUUAAAAUUGGUGUUUUAAACAAGGUGCUAACUUCUCCAGCCUUUCUCCAUGUGAUAAGAAUGACUAUUUUAUUUAAAACUCUCCAAUAUACAAUUCCUAAGAUAUUAAUGAUAUGAAAAGCAACAGCAUUAUAUUAACAUGUAAGAUUUUUAUUCUGAAUUUAUUUGCAUUACAAAAAAAACAGACAAUGUAUUCAAUUCUUUAUAAAAAAGUGACUUUAAAGUUCAAUGCAAAUUAUAAACCAUGAUAUAUUUUCAUAUCAAAACUGGACUGGCUGUUUGGAGUAACAAGUUUUUAAAU